UACCCGCAGCACAAGUGGUGGUCAUUAUUAUUGGGCCUAAAGCGUCCGUAGCUGGCGUGUUAGAUGCCUGGGUAAAUCGAUGCACUCAACGUAUCGAAUUCCGGGUAGACCGGCACGCUCGAGACCGGGAGAGGUGUAGGGUACUCGGGGGGUAGGGGUAAAAUCCUGUAAUCCUCCGGGGACGACCAGUGGCGAAGGCGCUACACUAGAACGGCUCUGACAGUGAGGGACGAAGCCCUGGGGCGCAAACCGG
rnacentral:rRNA from 1 species